rnacentral:antisense_RNA from 1 species
UUCUGUGGCGGGCCGCGCGGGGCAGGCUUUGGCCUGGCCGGUUCCUUGGCUCCGGUUUGCUACCCCCGCGCGGCCCGCCUCCCAU